UGGUUUUGCUUGAUACCAUCAAUCCACCGUAAAGAAGUCAUCAUGACCUCUGACGCUUGUUUGGAAAAUGAUAUAAAUACAUCAAAUUUAAAAUCCAUCCGAAAUGGCAGUAUAUCAAAGUAACUCAGCCGCCCAAAACACCUAGCCGCUACAGGUAAUCGAUGUAAAAGAUCUUAUCUCCUGACCGUACUGAAAGAGAAAGUGUACUCUGUGGGAGCAUGCAAUCUACUUCUCAUUCAUCCCAAGCUCCUACAUAAGCUCUCCAAACCCACUUUCUUCUUCCUCACUGCUGAUCGAUACUGGAUAUCUGCGACUUUCUCUGUGACCAGACAAAAACUGCGUCAAAGAAAGUCGAUAUAGAUGGUCAUCGAGCAUUUUCGCUACUUCUAAAUGAAAUCAGGCCGACUGCUCAGUACGUAGCUUGUCAUGGCUUUACAAACACCUACACAUUCUUGUCGACAGGUAUGGGUUGAUAUUCAUGUGUAUGUGAUAUUUAGUGAAUAUUGCUCGAACAUUGAUGGCCCAUCAGAUGAUUUUCUCCUCUGCUAAUGGUAGUGAUUUCCUUCUUAAUGAGAUAUUGAUCCUAUUUUUGGUCAGACAUAUGCCGGCCAUCUGAUGAAAUUUGGAUGUCCUGUGUAACAUACGAGGCCCAUCAAAUGAUUCCCAUCCUCUUUAAAUGGUUCUGUUUUUCA